GGGUUCAACCUGUCCUUUCCCCUCCACCAUGGCUUCUGGUUUAAGGGAAUAUUUGAGUAGCAUAGGAAGGGUGCUUGCUUUGUAGUAGAAUCCAAAAAUAGUUGUCUCAUCUCUGGUCUGGAGUAUUGCUCUUCUGAUGUUCAGCACAACCUUUUAUAAACAGUGUUACUUGUGAAUGUUCAUUUUGGGACUUUGUUCAGACAUCCUGUCAAGCAGCGUGAAGUUUCAUUUUGAAAAUAAGUACCAUGUAGAGAAAAGCACAUUCAGUGGACAGGUAGUUCUAGUUUGAAUUCUGUUAUUCUUUUUUAACUUGGACAAGUCCACAUUUCUGAGAUCUAACUUCUUCCUUUGUAAAAUGGGGAUCAUGGUGUUUGCGCUGGGCUCUGCGAGUCUGGUGGGGUGUUUCCGUGUGCAGAAGAACGUAGUAAACUAUAGAGCUCUUCAGAGCAUUAAAUAUUGUUACACACUUUGAGAGUCUGUGUUUGGCCUAUAAUGGGGAGAACAUAAUACUUGAUUUUUGAAGGGAAGGCCUUUCACUUAGGUUGUAUGUCUGCCCUGGUAUGUUCUGUGUGCUCAUCUUUUCAUAUAUUACGAACUGUAUUAUAUAGAGAGGGUGGCACCAUCCCUCUAAUGCCACGUGCUUUGAGCCAUUUUUCUCCUGUGGUAGAAAAGGUGACGUUCUGUGCAUGUACUUCUCCGCACUACAUUCCAACGGUUUGGUGGUAGAAAGGUGACGUUCUGUGCGUGUACUUCUCCGCACUGCAUUCCGACGGUUUGGUGGUAGAAAGGUGGCGCUCUGUGCGUGUACUUCUCCGCACUGCAUUCCGACGGUUUGGUGGUAGAAAGGUGGACGCUCUGUGCAGGUACUUCUCCGCACUGCAUUCCGACGGUUUGGAAGCGUGUCCCUGUGCACUGAGCCAGUGUGCCGGGGACAGACCGCAUGGUGGGGGGAGUGUGGCUGGGAACAAUGAGGCUUGCCCAUGAUGACACACUCUGAAACAUGCCGACUUUUCUC